rnacentral:rRNA from 1 species
UAGCCGUAAACGAUACUCGCUAGGUGUCGGCCACGGUGCGACCGUUGUCGGUGCCGUAGGGAAGCCGUGAAGCGAGCCACCUGGGAAGUACGGCCGCAAGGCUGAAACUUAAAGGAAUUGGCGGGGGAGGCACAACAACGGGUGGAGCUUGCGGUUUAAUUUGGAUUCAACGCCGGAAAUCUUACCGGGACCGACAGCAACAUGAAGGCCAAGCUGAAGACUUUGCCGGAUUAGCUGAGAGGAGGUGCAUGGCGUGUGACUGU